rnacentral:tRNA from 2 species
GGGCUCUUAGUUUACUGGUAAAACAUUUCCUUCACACGGAAGAGACAACUGGUUCGAUUCCAGUAGAGCCCA